ACACCUCAACUCUUCACGGCUUGCUGUGAUGAGCUUGGACUUUGGGGGUCUUGUUGGCCUGUGAGCCAGCUCCUCUUAAAUGAAUUAGCUUGCCAGUGUUUGGUGGUAUCACAGGUGUGAUAACUAUCUACGCUUGUGGUUUCCCAUCAGGUAACCUUCAGCGAUGGAGGUUCGCUGGGGCUUAUAAACAUCUCUCCUUGGUGAGGACAGAUUUUGACU
rnacentral:misc_RNA from 1 species